rnacentral:rRNA from 1 species
CGUGUGCCUUGGGCUUCACGCAUGCUACAAUGGCCGGUACAAAGGGCUGCGAUACCGCGAGGUGGAGCGAAUCCCAGAAAGCCGGUCUCAGUUCGGAUUGGGGUCUGCAACUCGACCCCAUGAAGUCGGAGUCGCUAGUAAUCGCAGAUCAGCAACGCUGCGGUGAAUACGUUCCCGGGCCUU